AGAGCCCCCGGAUGUGGCGGUGUCGGGACAGAGCCCAGAGCCCGCCAGGCUGGAGGCGUCGGGAGAGAGUGAUCUCAGCACCUCGGCGCACCUGGGCAAAGCUGUGACGUCAGUGGCCUUCCCGGGGUCCCCGGUGGCCACGGACCCCCGGGACCCCCCCCAGGACCCCCGGGACCCCCCCCCGGGGGGAGACUCCGGCCCCGAGAGCGGCUCCGAGAGCGGCGACCCCCGGGGGGGGCAGCCCCGAGGUCCCUUCCCCGAUGGCCCCUCCCAGUCCAGCGAGUCCGAGGAGGGGAUGUGACGCGGCCGCUCCCGACGGAUCCCCCGAGGAUUCCCCGCUGCCGCCCCCGCUGUCCCCUCGAUGUCACCUCGCUGUCCCCUCGCUGUCACCUCGAUGUCACCUCGCUGUCCCCUCGAUGUCACCUCGCUCUCCCCUCCCCUCCCGGGGGGACCCUGGGGGUGGCCGGACCCCCCCUCGUGUCCCCUCCCCCCACAAUGUCC